GGUUUAAGAGUUUGCUGUUAAGUUCCGAAAGUUUAGCUUUUGUAAUUUCUAAGGAUGUGUCGAGUUCUGUGAAGUUGUCAAACGUCAUAAUAGUGUCACGUAUAUGUUUAAUGUUUAGUUCGCAAUUGUCCAGUCGUACAAUAUGAAUCAGGUUGUAAUAUGAAGUGAUUAGUCGUGCCGUUCCUAGUCGAAUUGUCUUUUAGCGAAGUCGCGUGUUCGUACUCGUAAAUACGAAUACGUUUACAUUGACUUUUGGACGGGAGAAUACAACCGAGAAGGAUGCCAGCACAUCUUUUCUUACGUAUAUUUAGAAGAAGUAAUUUUGAGGUGUAAGAUUCCAGCUGAAGUUAAGUAAAAAUAAGCAAAGCAAAUCACGCCAUUGGCCGGCCUUUUCGUUGUUUCCCAUCGAAUUCGAUUUUCAGAGCAUUUUAGCAACUGAGCUCUUGUCAACGCAUAUUAAAUGCCUAAAUGCCAUCAUCACAAUUUUUCUACUUUCGAUGGAACCCCAUAUCGACCGCUGAUGUCCUCAUUUCGGAUCUGAUCAUGGGGUGUUACACCACUGGUCCAACGCAGUAUUUUCAACCCCAUUACCACGAGGCAACAUUUAUUUUUAUUAUCUUUUAUAAUACACUACCAUUCAGAGCCAUAGAAGGUGACUGAUUUCUUGAUGGCUGGUGCGGUGUUCUAUGGUUUCAGUCGCUAGUCUUCACUCCUGGAACCACUGAUGAUUUUUUUCUGAAAACAAUUAUCAUGAACUAGGACUGGUACUUACUCCAAUCUUUUCACUGAUCAACCAGGUAUUAAUAGAAACGCCCAAUCCUUCAGAUGAAUACAAAUUUACUAUCACUAGUUCUUAACCUACACUAGCGCUAUUUCCGGAAAUCUAUAUUUGAUAAAUAAUGUUAACAAUCUUAUCUCUGCAUAAAAUUUUCUUCAUUCGCUAGGGUAGCUAGAGAUUUAUGUGUGUUCCUAGCUGUAUAAAUUUUGAUAUAUUCUUUUGAUAUGAUCUUUGAGGUAAAGGGCGAUACUGUAACUGAAAGUAAUUUAAUUGUGUUUUUCACGAGAAUAUCGAAUACGAAUGACACUCAUUUGUUGUACUAUUAGUUAUAAUUUAAAAUGUUCCUACUGCUUUGAAUAUUUAAAAAAUACAUGAAUA